rnacentral:rRNA from 1 species
GUAAGGUGAUAUGAACCGUUAUAACCGGCGAUUUCCGAAUGGGGAAACCCAGUGUGUUUCGACACACUAUCAUUAACUGAAUCCAUAGGUUAAUGAGGCGAACCGGGGGAACUGAAACAUCUAAGUACCCCGAGGAAAAGAAAUCAACCGAGAUUCCCCCAGUAGCGGCGAGCGAACGGGGAGCAGCCCAGAGCCUGAAUCAGUGUGUGUGUUAGUGGAAGCGUCUGGAAAGGCGCGCGAUACAGGGUGACAGCCCCGUACACAAAAAUGCACAUGCUGUGAGCUCGAUGAGUAGGGCGGGACACGUGGUAUCCUGUCUGAAUAUGGGGGGACCAUCCUCCAAGGCUAAAUACUCCUGACUGACCGAUAGUGAACCAGUACCGUGAGGGAAAGGCGAAAAGAACCCCGGCGAGGGGAGUGAAAAAGAACCUGAAACCGUGUACGUACAAGCAGUGGGAGCACGCUUAGGCGUGUGACUGCGUACCUUUUGUAUAAUGGGUCAGCGACUUAUAUUCUGUAGCAAGGUUAACCGAAUAGGGGAGCCGAAGGGAAACCGAGUCUUAACUGGGCGUUAAGUUGCAGGGUAUAGACCCGAAACCCGGUGAUCUAGCCAUGGGCAGGUUGAAGGUUGGGUAACACUAACUGGAGGACCGAACCGACUAAUGUUGAAAAAUUAGCGGAUGACUUGUGGCUGGGGGUGAAAGGCCAAUCAAACCGGGAGAUAGCUGGUUCUCCCCGAAAGCUAUUUAGGUAGCGCCUCGUGAAUUCAUCUCCGGGGGUAGAGCACUGUUUCGGCAAGGGGGUCAUCCCGACUUACCAACCCGAUGCAAACUGCGAAUACCGGAGAAUGUUAUCACGGGAGACACACGGCGGGUGCUAACGUCCGUCGUGAAGAGGGAAACAACCCAGACCGCCAGCUAAGGUCCCAAAGUCAUGGUUAAGUGGGAAACGAUGUGGGAAGGCCCAGACAGCCAGGAUGUUGGCUUAGAAGCAGCCAUCAUUUAAAGAAAGCGUAAUAGCUCACUGGUCGAGUCGGCCUGCGCGGAAGAUGUAACGGGGCUAAACCAUGCACCGAAGCUGCGGCAGCGACGCUGAUGCGUUGUUGGGUAGGGGAGCGUUCUGUAAGCCUGCGAAGGUGUGCUGUGAGGCAUGCUGGAGGUAUCAGAAGUGCGAAUGCUGACAUAAGUAACGAUAAAGCGGGUGAAAAGCCCGCUCGCCGGAAGACCAAGGGUUCCUGUCCAACGUUAAUCGGGGCAGGGUGAGUCGACCCCUAAGGCGAGGCCGAAAGGCGUAGUCGAUGGGAAACAGGUUAAUAUUCCUGUACUUGGUGUUACUGCGAAGGGGGGACGGAGAAGGCUAUGUUGGCCGGGCGA